rnacentral:rRNA from 1 species
UACAGAGGGUGCAAGCGUUAAUCGGAAUUACUGGGCGUAAAGCGUGCGUAGACGGUUAUGUAAGUCGGGUGUGAAAGCCCCGGGCUCAACCUGGGAAUUGCAUUCGAGACUGCAUAGCUAGGGUGCGGAAGAGGGAAGCGGAAUUUCCGGUGUAGCGGUGAAAUGCGUAGAUAUCGGAAGGAACACCAGUGGCGAAAGCGGCUCUCUGGGACGGUACUGACGCUGAGACGCGAAAGCGUGGGGAGCGAACAGG